AGAGUUUGAUCCUGGCUCAGAGUGAACGCUGGCGGUAGGCCUAACACAUGCAAGUCGAACGGCAGCACAGUAAGAGCUUGCUCUUAUGGGUGGCGAGUGGCGGACGGGUGAGGAAUACAUCGGAAUCUACCUUUUCGUGGGGGAUAACGUAGGGAAACUUACGCUAAUACCGCAUACGACCUUCGGGUGAAAGCAGGGGACCUUCGGGCCUUGCGCGGAUAGAUGAGCCGAUGUCGGAUUAGCUAGUUGGCGGGGUAAAGGCCCACCAAGGCGACGAUCCGUAGCUGGUCUGAGAGGAUGAUCAGCCACACUGGAACUGAGACACGGUCCAGACUCCUACGGGAGGCAGCAGUGGGGAAUAUUGGACAAUGGGCGCAAGCCUGAUCCAGCCAUACCGCGUGGGUGAAGAAGGCCUUCGGGUUGUAAAGCCCUUUUGUUGGGAAAGAAAAGCAGUCGAUUAAUACUCGGUUGUUCUGACGGUACCCAAAGAAUAAGCACCGGCUAACUUCGUGCCAGCAGCCGCGGUAAUAC
rnacentral:rRNA from 1 species